UUGGUUAAGUUAGAAAGGGCGCACGGUGGAUGCCUUGGCACUAGGAGCCGAAGAAGGACGGGACUAACACCGAUAUGCUUUGGGGAGCUGUACGUAAGCGUUGAUCCAGAGAUUUCCGAAUGGGGGAACCCACUAUCUUUAGUCGGAUAGUAUCCUUACGUGAAUACAUAGCGUGAGGAAGGCAGACCCAGGGAACUGAAACAUCUAAGUACCUGGAGGAAGAGAAAGAAAAAUCGAUUUCCUGAGUAGCGGCGAGCGAAACGGAAAGAGCCCAAACCAAGAAGCUUGCUUCUUGGGGUUGUAGGACACUCUAUACGGAGUUACAAAAGAAAGUUAUAAAUGAAGCGGUCUGGAAAGGCCCGCCAAAGACGGUAACAGCCCGGUAGUUGAAAUGGCUUUCCCUCCAGAGUGGAUCCUGAGUACGGCGGAACACGUGAAAUUCCGUCGGAAUCCGGGAGGACCAUCUCCCAAGGCUAAAUACUCCCUAGUGACCGAUAGUGAACCAGUACCGUGAGGGAAAGGUGAAAAGCACCCCGGAAGGGGAGUGAAACAGUUCCUGAAACCGUGUGCCUACAAGUAGUUAGAGCCCGUUAAUGGGUGAUAGCGUGCCUUUUGUAGAAUGAACCGGCGAGUUACGAUUUGUUGCAAGGUUAAGCGGAAAAAGCGGAGCCGUAGCGAAAGCGAGUCUGAAUAGGGCGCAUAAGUAACAGGUCGUAGACCCGAAACCAGGUGAUCUACCCAUGUCCAGGAUGAAGGUAAGGUAAUACUUACUGGAGGUCCGAACCCACGCACGUUGAAAAGUGCGGGGAUGAGGUGUGGGUAGCGGAGAAAUUCCAAUCGAACUUGGAGAUAGCUGGUUCUCUCCGAAAUAGCUUUAGGGCUAGCCUCGAGGUAAAGAGUCAUGGAGGUAGAGCACUGUUUGGACUAGGGGCCCUUCUCGGGUUACCGAAUUCAGAUAAACUCCGAAUGCCAUGUACUUAUACUCGGGAGUCAGACUGCGAGUGAUAAGAUCCGUAGUCGAAAGGGAAACAGCCCAGACCACCAGUUAAGGUCCCCAAAUAUAUGUUAAGUGGAAAAGGAUGUGGGGUUGCUUAGACAACCAGGAUGUUGGCUUAGAAGCAGCCACCAUUGAAAGAGUGCGUAAUAGCUCACUGGUCGAGUGACCCCGCGCCGAAAAUGUACCGGGGCUAAACAUAUUACCGAAACUGUGGAUGAACCUCUUUAGAGG
rnacentral:rRNA from 1 species